CCUGGUAAGAUUUACAGCAAUCAGAAGUACAGGGUUCUUUGAAUGCAUCGUACUUCUCGUCUGAUAGUUUAAUUUCCGGGCUUGCCCUGAAGGCAUCACCUGCAGCUCGGUGCGCGUGAAGGUGUGGUGUAGAGGAACAAAGACGGCAAGGAAAAAACUCCAUGCUGCCGCGAAGCACGGUUUUCCAGUUGAAAGAGGAAAAAGAGGUUCCAUUAACAUUUGUGAGAGAGCUGCCGUUAGCGGUGAACCACAGACGGGUACCUACCUCGAAGGAGUCGGAGUGUUUCUUCGAACUUUUUGAACUAUUCUGACUGGUUUUUUGUUGAGGAACAAUUCCAUGUGUGCUGCACAAGGAGCUGCCAUUGCAGAUCUAAGACACUGUUACUGCUGUGGAGGCCUUCUGUGUGUCAGGACGCGACUCGUUGAUGCCUGCCGUACCAGGAGGGGGGUAGGAAAAAAACAAAACAAAAGUAAGUCCACCUGAGAGACACUUUAUCAUUUUCUUUUGCUACUUUUUUUUCUUCGCCUGGAACUCAGGUUGUUUUUUGUUCUCAAACCCAAAUAAACUGGUAACUAAAUGAAACUGACAUCAUAAAAACUAACUGUUGACAACCAGUAAAAGUCUAGUGGUACCACAUUUUCUUUUCUUUUUCCUUUUCUUUGGGGUGUUGAAAUAUUGUGUUUUCUUUCCUGUCUUACAUCUGUUUUGAUUGUUUCAAUUAUUUUGUAAUGCAUUUGAGAUGGUUACUACAUUUGAAGGUAUCCCUAUAUUGAGAAUGAGCAAAGGGAACUGAUCCAAAGAAAAUAUAUAUAUAAAGCAAACUUUGUUUCACAAACCUGUUGUCGUGCGUGUUAUGUGGGUUGGAAGUCUUAUUGCUCUUACAGAGUUGCUACCGCCAAUCUCCUUCCCAAACCUAGAUUCAGAUAUUGUAGACAUUGCACUUGGGCGAGCUGUAUAGAUCAUCUCUUUAUAGAUAGAGGGACACACGUCCAGGUUACACCUUCAUACUAUGUUUAUUGUUGUUCAAUGUUUUACUAUAAUACUCCUUUCUACAUACACGUAUAAUAUUAGUCAACUUAUUUUUGUAUUUUUUAUAUUUAUUUUCAGCAUCUUUUGUUCUUUGUUUUAGGAAUUCCCUAUAGAGUGUAUUUUUCUUUUUACAUGCAUUUUGUAAACCCUUAGUGAUCCAUGGUCUAUCUGAAUAUUUGUGCUUUCUGUUGUAUUUUAUUGUUGGACAGUUUUUAUCGUACAAUUCCAUGAAUAUUCUUAAAAAUAUGCCAUAUGCAAUAUCAAUAUCAGUUUCUUUGUACACGUUGUCCCAGUCCUGAUUUAAUAGAUCGUUCUUAAGUGCAUUCAUAGUUUCUUCUGUCCUUACUCGUCUGUAUCUCAGUUGUUCUU